rnacentral:tRNA from 1 species
UGGCUCAGAUGGUAAAGCAUCUGCCUACAAAGCAGGAGACCUGGGUUCAAUCCCUG